AAUGGAACCAUUAGGCCUAUCGUAAUUUGGGAUAUCUCCAAUAGGGGCUCUAUCCUGGUCAAAGUAAUCUACCUCGAUUACUUGAAAUUUCUUCUGUCAUUGGUGCACAAUCGAAAAAGGCGUGAAUAUUAAAAGCGGUUGACACCUUCUAUCAACCAAUCGCCCCACGUGUUAUCUUGGAAAGCGACCCGCCUUAUCGGUGUUUCCUCCUGAGAAUCCGAAGACCACACCCACUGAUCUCGAUUGUAAAAGGCUGGAUCGCGGAUAGGGAGCGCGAGCGUGAAGAAACCGGCCGCCAUCUUACUGUACCCACAACAGUCGCCGCAGCGAUCAUGGCAACUUCUUGCAAUUACGGUCGUACCAACCGUACUGGCAAGGUUACAGGGCCUAAAUUUAUACAGGUUUCGUCAUGAGGGCUACCCAGUGAAUUAUCUGUGCAGUGUGAUACGGCUGGGUGUACAGGUUACUUCACAGCUGCCUCAACAUACUCAAGAAAUGGGUGCAGAACCUGCGUAAUGCCCACAAACUUUGACUACCACAGCACCUCCAGAAAGUAAAGGCAUAUGUGUCACAUGGGAUUUUUAAAGGCAUUCACAGUAUAUAAUACCUUGUAUGAACUGUUGUUGAUCUAAGCAGCCUCUACAGUACACUCUCAGAAAUUAAAACUUGUCAGGGAACUGUGAUAA